GCGCGGGUGACGUAAUUGGUAGCCGUGCAAGCUUGAGGGGCUUGUGGCCGCAAGGCCGUGGAGGUUCGAGUCCUCUCCCGCGCACCA
rnacentral:tRNA from 1 species